rnacentral:sRNA from 1 species
GCUGGGCACCGUGGUGCAUGCCUGUAAUCCCAGUGACUAGGAAGGUUGAGGCAGGAUGAUUGCGAGUUCAAAGCCAGCCUCAGCAAAAGCAAGGCACUGACAACUCAGUGAGACCCUGUCUCUA